rnacentral:lncRNA from 1 species
AUGCUCCAGGUGAGGCCCAAAAAUGCCCCCCCCCAAAAAAUAUAUAUAUAUACACAUAUAUAUAUAUAUAUAUGUAUGUAUAGAUAUAUGUUCAAUUUUAUGUCUCCUUGGGUUCAUAUAUGGGUACCUAACAGGUGUUGCAAAUUUUCCCCUUGGCUUUAUAUAUAUUUUUUUAACUUUCUCAUUUUCUCUGUGCAAAAAAUAUUUAAUUUUUAUUCAACUGUAUUUUUUUUCCUUUAUAUCUUCUGGAUUUUGUCUUGCUUGGAGAGGUUUUUUUUUGAGGCUAUUUUGAACAUAUUUAUUGAUGAAGUUCAUACAAUUUACAUACAAUCUCUCUGUAUGCAGGUAAAAUUCAAUGAUUUUUGCUAUAGGUGUUGGCAACUAUCGCCACAACCCAGUUUUAGAAGUCUACAUCACUUCAAAAAGCUCCCUGUUUACAAUUCCUUCUCACAUCCACUCCAAGGCCCAGACACACUGAUCUGCUUUCUCUCUACAAAACUGCCUUUUCUUGAUAGUUCAUGUAGAUGGAAGCCCAUGACAGGACCUGUUGUCUUUUCUGUCUGGCUGCUUUCGCUUAGUAUUAGAGUUGUGAAAUUCAUCCAUUUAAGCAUGUUUCAUCCUUGCCUUUAAAUGCGUUUCAGUUGUUCUGCUUUUUAGGUGCAUGAUAUUCCAGUGCAUAGAUACAAUUAGUACACUUUGUUUAUUCAUUAAUGGAGAGGUAUUUGGAGAGGAUUUUCAAUUUUUGACUCUUAUGACUAAUACUGCUCUGAACAUUUGCACACAUAUAUUUGUGAGGACUUAGUUAUUUCUCUAGGGUAGAUUCCAAGGGAAAAAAAACUGGUGGAUCAUUUGUCAAAUGAAUGUUUUUUAACUUUUUAAGAAAUAGCCAGGGUGUUUCUAUCAUAGUUCAGCAGAGAUGACCCCGACUUGUAUCCAUGACGAUGUGGGUUUGAUCCCUGGCCUCAAGGAUCCCGUGUUGCCAUGAGCUGUGGUGUAGGUCACAGAUGUGGCUUGGAUCUGGCAUUGCUACGGCUGUGGCAUAGGUCAGCAGCUGUAGCUCCAAUUCAACCCCUAUCCAGGAAACUUCCAUAUGCUGCACCUGCAGCCCUAAAAAUUUUUUUUUUUUAAUUUAAAGAAAUUGCUCAAGGGUUUUCCAAAAUUUUUUUAACAUUAUACACUCCCAUUAGUAACACAUCAGGGAUUAGAAAGGUUUUUUCCUUAAAUAUAAUUAUAACAAUGAAGAUGAUAGUAACGGAAAUCAUAAUAAACAUAGUUAAUUUUUACA